AGGUUACUAUCUAAUACUUAUCACUAUAUUGUUAGUAUUAUAAGGAGAGAGGAAAUUAGAAGAAAAAAAAGAAAGGAAAAGAAAGUAGGAGUUGUACUGCUCCUAGUUUCCAAACACCAACACCCACGUUUCACUUUACCUUUCUUUUCUUUCUUCUUCGAACUUUUACUCCAACCAAAUACCUCCAUUGAAGCUACAAUUUUUAUCAUUUACCACCAUCAAACAUCAACUCUAUCCAUCCAUCUUAAUCAUAUCUUGAUUUUGGGGUAUCUUGAAGAGGGAGAAUCGAGCUUUGGCUUUGCGGUUUCGGAUCGUGAAUCAAUUCAAAGAGCGUUUUUUUGGGGUUCCUUUAUAGUGUAAUUUCACCUCAUUACUUCCCUUUACUCAAAUUGCGGGUUCGUAGAGGAACCUUUCUGACUUGAGAUUGAGUUUUAUUAGCUGUGGUUGCUGAUAAGGUAAGAUUUCUUACUGUACAGAUAAGUUCAGAAAUUAUUUUACAUUGCUUAGAAAUUUUUUUUUUUUUUACAACGAGAUUGUUUUAUGAAGUUUAUACGUUGAAUUUAAAUGGGUCUCGAUAUUUAUAUUAAAAGAGUUUAUGAGAUUAUUUAUGAGACUUAUAGUAAAAGGGAGGAAGUUCCUCUAUGUUACCAAGUUGAGAUUUUGAAAGGAGGAAGUUCCUCACCCUUACGAGGGUUUAUAGAGUUUGAUUGUGGGGUUGCCGGUAAGCGGUAUUCUCCGAGUUUGGAAGUAUGUUGAGUUAACAGUGUCUCAACAAUAUAUUUUAGUAGUUGGGAGUAUGUUGAUCAAUACUCUUGCCAUUUGUCUUCCUUCUUGGUACGUUAUCAAGUUAGGGGUAUGCAUACUAGGGACUUUGGUGUUUACCUUGUCUAGUGAGCCUAGCUAGCUCAUUGGAUUUUUAUUACUUCCUACUCACAGAUUACGAAAGGUUAUAUUUGAAAGUUUUACAGAAUAGUUCAGAAAGAAAGAAAUAUCGUAUUUGAGGUUAUUAGAAAGUUAAUUUUAUAUAUAUAAUCUGUACUCUUUUUAAAUGAAUUUGUAAGAUAUUCCUAUAUAUCUUACCUGCACAUUGAAUAGUUUUGUUUUAUUUCAGUAUUAAAUCUUGCUCAGCCUUUGGCUGAUAUUACAGUGUUUAAUGUGCAGGGACUUGAAGAUAGUUAGCUUCAGUUGGGUUAAAGAGUGUGUUGGAUCCAUUUUGAUUUAAUAAGACUUUAAAAAGACUUCCGCUGUUAUUUAUUUAUAAGAUUUAUGUUCUGGGUUGUAAUAAUUAAUUUUACAUUCUAUUUAGUUGGUCUGUAAUAAUUAGUUAAAACUUAUUGGUUAUUGUUUUAGUUAGAACCAUAAGCCUUGCGGUUAUUAUUGAUAAUUAUCGCGGCGUAGCACCUUCGGAUU